rnacentral:tRNA from 1 species
UGUAGCUUAGUUGGUUGAGUGCAAGGCUCUCAACCUUGUGGUCAUGGGUUCGAGCUCCUUUCA